GUAUUGUAAUUGAUUUGUUAAUAAAUAAAAUAUAUUUUUGGUAUUUUCAUCAUAAAUUUUUAUCUUCUAAUGAUCUCCGUUGUUGUGAUGAAGUCCUUAAGAUUAUUUAGAUUCAAUAAAGAGAGGAUUUAUCGAUUAGUUCUUAAAACUAUUCACGAUCAAAUGAUAGGCUGUUAAUAAGGACGAUAGCUUCUAUCGAGCAUAGAUCGCUGUAGGCCAUAUAGGUUGGUUGUCCUCUUAACCAAGGAG
rnacentral:lncRNA from 1 species